UGGGGAAUAUUGGACAAUGGGCGAAAGCCUGAUCCAGCCAUGCCGCGUGUGUGAAGAAGGUCUUCGGAUUGUAAAGCACUUUAAGUUGGGAGGAAGGGCAUUAACCUAAUACGUUAGUGUUUUGACGUUACCGACAGAAUAAGCACCGGCUAACUCUGUGCCAGCAGCCGCGGUAAUACAGAGGGUGCAAGCGUUAAUCGGAAUUACUGGGCGUAAAGCGCGCUUAGGUGGUUUGUUAAGUUGGAUGUGAAAUCCCCGGGCUCAACCUGGGAACUGCAUUCAAAACUGACUGACUAGAGUAUGGUAGAGGGUGGUGGAAUUUCCUGUGUAGCGGUGAAAUGCGUAGAUAUAGGAAGGAACACCAGUGGCGAAGGCGACCACCUGGACUAAUACUGACACUGAGGUGCGAAAGCGUGGGGAGCAAACA
rnacentral:rRNA from 1 species